rnacentral:lncRNA from 1 species
GCGCAUAUGACAAAUAAUGGUUGAGCUAGAUAAAAUUAGUAUAAUUCACGUGAAUAAUAAGCGUAAAUGAACAUUUUGAAGCUAAAAUAAUUAAAAUAAGAAGACAAAAUCAUUAAAACAAGAACGAAUAAUAACUGUAGUAAAAAUCAGAGGUUAUGAUGAUAAUUUCUUCUUCUAUCUCUGAGAAACCGGUGUUUGCAGCCAUGACGAUGUCUAAUCUCUUGCCUUAUCUUCAAUUUGUAGAUCCGAGUCUCAAUUGGAAGGUUAUUUUCUUAAGUGCAAACCUACAGGCUCUUUUCCUCCAUUUUCAAAAGUCUCUCUCUGUUCUUUCAUUGAUUUUCUUAGAUUUGAAUCCCUCUCUGUUUCGCCAUUGAUUUUCUUCGAUCUGAGCCCUUAUCUAUUUUGUCAUUGAUUUUCUCCAUUUAGAAAAAAAAAAAAACAAAUCAACAGCUUGGCAAAAGCAGAAGCAAACAUGAUUUAAGUGGGCUUUGGACAUAAAAGUCCCCGAAACGAUGACGGAGAAGAGAAGAGAAACAGAAGCGGUUCAUACUUUCUAGGCCCUAACUAAGCACUAAGUGUAAAAUGAGGAAAAAAUUUAGGUUUGGGGGGAUAAUAAUCAUUUCUUAUUUUAAUUUCCUAUGUGGCCAUGAUAAAUGACCUGGAGCCUACGUGAUUUAAUUUUCUUGACGUGGCGUCCGAUGUGUAGGAGAUUGUAUUACACGCACUGGCGGUCUCGUAUCGUAAGCGUUUAUUAUAUAAGCUUUGAAGAAGUGUAAGUGUUUAAUUGACAAAUUGUUAAGUUUGAUGACCAGCUUAACAAAGUGGGACAAAUAUAAUUUCCAUUUAC